rnacentral:rRNA from 1 species
CAGCCGCCGCGGUAAUACGUAGGUCCCGAGCGUUGUCCGGAUUUAUUGGGCGUAAGGCGAGCGCAGGCGGUUAGAUAAGUCUGAAGUUAAAGGCUGUGGCUUAACCAUAGUACGCUUUGGAAACUGUUUAACUUGAGUGCAAGAGGGGAGAGUGGAAUUCCAUGUGUAGCGGUGAAAUGCGCAGAUAUAUGGAGGAACACCGGUGGCGAAAGCGGCUCUCUGGCUUGUAACUGACGCUGAGGCUCGAAAGCGUGGGGAGCAAACAGGAUUAGAUACCCGUGUAGUCUCUGUCUCUUAUACC